rnacentral:rRNA from 1 species
GACAGAGGGUGCAAACGUUGCUCGGAAUUACUGGGCGUAAAGCGCGUGUAGGCGGGUCGGCAAGUCAGGUGUGAAAGCCCUAGGCUCAACCUAGGAACUGCACUUGAAACUGCCGGUCUAGAGUAAUGGAGAGGAGAGCGGAAUUCCUGGUGUAGAGGUGAAAUUCGUAGAUAUCAGGAGGAACACCGGUGGCGAAGGCGGCUCUCUGGACAUUUACUGACGCUGAGACGCGAAAGCGUGGGGAGCAAACAGG